rnacentral:rRNA from 1 species
UACGGGGGGGGCAAGCGUUGUUCGGAAUUACUGGGCGUAAAGGGCUCGUAGGCGGCCAACUAAGUCGGACGUGAAAUCCCUCGGCUUAACCGGGGAACUGCGUCCGAUACUGGAUGGCUUGAGUAUGGGAGGGGGAUGCGGAAUUCCAGGUGUAGCGGUGAAAUGCGUAGAUAUCUGGAGGAACACCGAUGGCGAAGGCAGGUCUCUGGGCCAUUACUGACACUGAGAAGCGAAAGCAUGGGGAGCGAACAGG